AAGAAACCCGGAGCGGGGCGGUAGUUACGGCCGCGUGCGGCUUCUGGCCCACGUCCGCCUCCCAGGCCGACCCUUCCAUGAGGGACAGGGCGCAUCCACGCCUUCCUGCCGCCGGCCCCCGCCGGACACCUGGCAGGUGCUGGUUCAUUUCCCCUGCGCAGAACACCGAGCUGCCUGCUGGACGUCUCUGCUCGGAUGGUCUGCAGUCCCGCAUGGACCCCCUUGUCCUCCCUCCUCUGCCCUGCCUCCUUCUCCUGGACUUCCCACAUCUGGAAUGACACUGUCAUCUGCCAUCCUGUCUGAAUCUCAACAGCCAGACGGGGUACGGGGCAUGAAUAGAUUUGGAAUUGUGCUGGUAAGAAAAUGAAGAAGUCGGUCACUGAAGCUCAGGGAUACUUAGAGGAUCUGCCCCUCAAAGGCAUGUUCUUGGAGGAUCGCAUAGGAACUCAGGCUGCUGACCGUCUCUGGGCUGGGGCUGAUCAGA